rnacentral:rRNA from 1 species
UACGUAGGGGGCGAGCGUUGUUCGGAAUUAUUGGGCGUAAAGAGCGUGUAGGCGGUUCGGUAAGUCUGCCGUGAAAACCUGGGGCUCAACCCCGGGCGUGCGGUGGAUACUGCCGGGCUAGAGGGUGGUAGAGGCGAGUGGAAUUCCCGGUGUAGCGGUGAAAUGCGCAGAUAUCGGGAGGAACACCAGUGGCGAAGGCGGCAUCCUGGACCAAUAUUGACGCUGAGGAGCGAAAGCCAGGGGAGCAAACGGG